rnacentral:rRNA from 1 species
AUGAACGCUGGCGGCGUGCCUAAUACAUGCAAGUCGAGCGAACAGACGAGGAGCUUGCUCCUCUGACGUUAGCGGCGGACGGGUGAGUAACACGUGGAUAACCUACCUAUAAGACUGGGAUAACUUCGGGAAACCGGAGCUAAUACCGGAUAAUAUAUUGAACCGCAUGGUUCAAUAGUGAAAGACGGUUUUGCUGUCACUUAUAGAUGGAUCCGCGCCGCAUUAGCUAGUUGGUAAGGUAACGGCUUACCAAGACAACGAUGCGUAGCCGACCUGAGAGGGUGAUCGGCCACACUGGAACUGAGACACGGUCCAGACUCCUACGGGAGGCAGCAGUAGGGAAUCUUCCGCAAUGGGCGAAAGCCUGACGGAGCAACGCCGCGUGAGUGAUGAAGGUCUUCGGAUCGUAAAACUCUGUUAUUAGGGAAGAACAAAUGUGUAAGUAACUAUGCACGUCUUGACGGUACCUAAUCAGAAAGCCACGGCUAACUACGUG